GAUGAGCUCAUCAUCCUAGAGUGGCUUCCCGGCGGCGGCGAGCUCAUCAGCGAAGCCGCGCAUCUCGGCAAAGUAGGUGGUGACGAUUUUGUUGCCCUUCUGGGCGUUCACCAGAGAUGUUCUGAUGUUGUUGAUGCAGCUAAGCGACUGUGAGGAGAACAUGCCUGACAGCGUCGCCCAGAGCCCGUGCGCCGUGGUGAUCGCGGUCACCUGCACGAGCACCUCCUUGGUGAGAUUGUUCAGUAGGUACCCAAGCACCUGCUGAUCCUCCCGCACCCAGAUGGGAUGGAGAGGGUUUGGCUCGGUGGAUUCCUUCCCAUCCUUGUCCUUGGUGGAGAGGAUCAUGGCCGGCUCCGGUGAACUGCCGUCGACGUAGCCGAAGACGUCUGCACCUCUGAGCUGCGGUGUGACCUGCGUGCGCCAGAGGAUGUAAUUUGUGCGGGAUAGCUUCUCUGUAACCUGGCCACUAAGACCAAGCUGGGAAGCGCCGGAGGAGGACGACAUGAUUGCACUGGUGGAGGUUUUGAUCUAGACGAUGUGGAAGAGAAUGGCUCUGAUUACCAUGUGAUGGCGGAAAGCGUCGUACCUCAACUUGAGGGGACGCUGUACCCACCUUCUUUUUUUUCUCGCAGCAUAAACGAUGCUACUGAAAAUGCUACCCUCGCUAAUUCAUCCAGCAGACCAACGAACCAAGAGCGAACACAGAUCACCGCAGCUGUUGCUCACCCUUGGAAUAAGGACGAAAUUUCCAGUAGGAUACUGAGAAUAACUCAUCAGUUGCAAGGCAUCCGAGGGAAUGUGACAAAGGAUCUCAACAUGUUUGGGUCACACUCUGGUGCAAGUUCAGUUCUCCAUCAAAGAACAGCCUCAGAUCCAUGCCGAAGAACAUCAAGUCUUCUUCAAGGCAAAGUGUAUGGGAGAGACAAAGAGAAGAACACCAUCAUAAAGGUGAUUACUGCUGGGAAAUCUGACAGUGUGACUGUCGUGCCUAUUGUAGGCAUUGGAGGUGCUGGGAAGACAGCUCUCGCACAAUCUGUAUGUAAUGAUCCGAAAGUGCAAAACCAGUUUGACCACAGCAUAUGGGUGUGGGUGUCUAACAGCUUCGAUGAAAUGAGAAUCACAAGAGAGAUGUUAGAUAUUGUCCCUCGAGAAAAGCACGAAGGGUUAUGCAGCCUUGACAAACUCCAGCAGGUCUUGAAAACUCAUAUCGAAUCAAAGAGGGUUCUACUUAUAUUAGAUGACGUCUGGGAUGGCAUGAACGAUGGCAAACUGGACCUGAUACUGGCUCCUUUCAAGUCAGACAAUGCAAAUGGCAAUGUGAUCCUUGUAACGACCAGAUAUCUCUCUGUUGCAAAAAGGAUAGGAACGACUGAACCAAUUGUGUUAGGUGCUCUGGGAGAAGACGAUUUUUGGUCACUGCUCAAAGCACGAGCAUUUCGUGAUGAGAACUGUGAAGGGUAUGGAAAGCUAGAAAGCAUUGGAUGGAAAAUAGCAGGCAAGCUAAAAGGCAACCCAUUAGCAGCAGUAACUGCAGGGGGACUAUUAAGAGUUGAUCUUACUGUUGAUCAUUGGAACAAAGUUCUCGAGGAAGAAGGUUGGAAAUUGCUGGAGCUCGGUGGAGGCAUCAUGUCUUCUUUGAAGCUUAGCUAUGAUCAGUUGCCUUACCAUCUACACCAAUGCUUCUCAUAUUGUUCUAUAUUCCCCGAGAACCAUGACUUUCUUGAUGAGGAGUUAGUCCGUAUUUGGAUUUCGCAAGGAUUUAUCAACCCGAGUCAUUCAAGUAAGAGACUGGAGGAGAUAGGAAUGGACUAUUUGGCAGAUUUGGUGAACGUGGGCUACUUUCAGCAAGUUGGAAGAAAUUCAUAUGUCGUGUGUGGUCAUAUGCAUGAUUUUGCAAGGAUGGUUUCAAGAACUGACUGUGCAAUUAUAGAUGGUCUAGAAUGCAAUGAUAUAUUGCCAACUGUACAACAUUUGUCAAUAGUAUUCAACGGACUUCAGCAUAGGAACAUACAUGUAGAAAAUAUGCGAGACACAAUUGCAUCAAUAGUCACAAAAUUGAGAUCAUUUAUCUUAAUUGGGCAGUACGAGUCUUCCUUCUUCCAAUCCUUCCAAAAUAUAUUCCGGAAGGCACAUAAUUUACGCCUGCUGCAAAUGUCUGCUACACCAGAUGAUUUUCGUUCUGUGUGUAGUUUGGUAAAUCCUACUCAUCUCCGUUAUCUAAAAGUUAAUGUUGGUUGCAGUGAAAGAGAUGUGCUUCAAGUUUUGAGCAAGUUUUGCCAUCUUCAAACAUUAGAUGUCGGAUCAAACACUACCCUUAAUGGACCUCAUGGCAUCAAUUAUCUUGUGAGCUUGCAAUAUCUUGCCGCGGCUUCCAUUGCUAGAGUUGGCAAACUGACCUCACUUCAGAAACUAAACAAUUUCAGCUUAGAAGAUUGUAAUGGCUUUCAGAUUACAGAACUUAAAUCCAUGAACAAUCUUGUUCAACUAGGGAUUUCUCAGCUUGAAAACGUUAAAACUCUGGAGGAGGUUUGUGGGGCAGGACUGCAAGACAAAUGUCACUUAGAAAAGCUGCACUUGUCCUGGUCAAGCGACCGGGACUUGUUCUGGAAAAGCUUUUUGCAUAGUGAACCUUCUACCAGCAUACAAACAGAGCAGUGCUUGCGAACAGAGGUACUUGAGGGUCUUCAACCACAUAACAAUCUAAAGCAUCUGCAGAUAUUUGGAUACAAUGGUGCUUCCUCUCCAUCUUGGCUUGCCAGCAACAUACCAAUAACCUCUUUACAGACCCUUCAUUUAGAGAACUGUGGAGAAUUGCAGAUACUUCCAUCUGUUGAAAGGCUUCCGUUUCUUAUAAAGUUAAGCUUGAGCAACAUGCCAAAAGUAAAAGAAGUAUCCAUUCCUUCGUUGGAGGAGUUGGUGUUAAUUAAAAUGCCAAAGUUGGAGAGAUGCUCCUGUAUUUCCUUGAGGGACUUGAACUCUUGUUUAAGGGUUCUGAUGAUUAAGAAAUGCCCUGCACUGAAGGUGUUUGAUCUGUUUGGGAACAGCCAUAAAUUUAAAAUUGAGCAGAAGCCAUGGUUACCACGUCUUCGUGAACUCAUUAUUCACAAAUGUCCUCUUUUGCCGGUACCACACCCUUUACCAUCUUCAAGUACCGUUUCUAGAAUUUCCAUGAGUGGAGUUUCAAAAUUUCCAGGAAUAGAUUUACGGUCCUGCGGAAGUUUAACCAUCGGCAAGGAUCCUGAGGUGGAUGAUUCUGAUUCUGAUUCUGAAUAUGAUUCUGAUGAAGAGGGUAGUUUUUACAGGUUUUCUGAUAACCUGUCAGUAUUAGAUGGCAAUAUUUUGGCAUUCCAUAAUCCAAGGUUCCUGACACAGUUGAUAAUAGGUCGUUGCCGAAAUCUGACGCAUAUUUCAUUCAAAGGAUUAAGUCAACUUGUAUCCUUAAAGACACUGAGAAUAGUGGACUGUCCAGGACUUUUUGGUUUCGAUGUUCCACCAGACCAUACCCAUGAAGAUUUAUUUCAAGCUGAUAGCCAUGAAGAUUUAACAGCUGUAAAUUGGAAUGCCCUCCCAUCUCUUGAAUGUUUAGAGAUUUUUUCAUGUGGAAUAACGUGGCAGUGGCUAUCUCUGAUUCUGCAACAUGCGCUAGGACUAAUGAUAUUGGAUUUACGUCGCUGCCCAAAUUUAGAAUCUCUACAACUGAAUUCCUGCACGGCACUGGAACAGUUGGGGGUAUAUGACUGUGAAUCGCUCGGCAUACUAGAGGUCUUGCAAUGCCGUUCCCUCAGGGAUAUGAAAGUGGUGCAUGUCCCAAAAUUGAAAUCCCUACAGCUGCACUUUUGCACGGCAUUGGAAGAGUUGGUCAUCCGUGAAGCUGCAGUCUGCGUGCUAGAGGGCUCACAAUCACUCAGGAAGUUGGAACUCCGUGACAACCAAUAUUUGGAAUCUCUAGACCUGUACUUCUGCACGGCACUGGAAGAGUUGGAUAUUCUGAGAUGUUCUUCACUCUGUACACUAGAGGGCUUUCAAUCCCUUGGCAGCCUCAGGCGUCUGUAUCUACGUGAUUGCCCUGGCUUGCAUUCAUAUUUGGAGGGUUUGCCAGCGCAGGACUGCGAAUUAUGCCCUCAACUAGAAUUUCUUGGAAUCAGUGACUUCUCUUUCCUUGCCACACCGUUCUGCAAGCAACUCACAUCACUCCAGCGCCUAGUUUUUUGUGGUUUGUUGAAAGAAACGACAGCGGAAAGACUAACAGAUGAGCAAGAGACAGAGCUUCUGCUCCUCGGUUCCCUCACAGAGCUCCGAUUUGAGGAUUGCAUGUAUCUCAAAUAUCUUCCUGCAGGCGUGCACAGACUUGGCUCGCUCCAGGUGUUGGAGAUUUCAUUUUGUCCGAGCAUCUCAGGGUUGCCGGGUCUCCCGCCUUCUCUAGAGGAGUUGAGAAUCUUCCGUGGCAGUGAGGAGCUGAAACUUCAAUCCAAAUCGCUAGCAUCAAGCAAGUUAAAGGUCAAAAUUGACAACCAAUAUGUGAACUGAUUACUCGGUGGCUUGUUAAGAACACGUGCACAACAGAUAUAGUUGUACACUUGUACUGCUUUUGAGAUAUAGUUGCACGACCAUCUCUCCCUGGAGAUGUUGAAGAUAUGAAGAUAUCCGAUUGUGUCAAGGCUGCCGGAAGCGGGCCUCCCACCUUUGCUCGAAGAGUUGGACAUCUCGCUUUGCAGCGAGGAGGUGAAUGAUCAAUGUAGAAUGCUCACAACAAGCAAGCUAAAGGCCGGCAUUGAUUUCCAAGAUGUGAAUUGGUUAGUCGUUGUCUUGUUAAGCAUGAGCUAGUACCUGCACAAAGGAUAUCGCUGUACUUCUUAUGAGGUUUGCUUUCACUUCAGAACAUCAUCCUCAUGUGAUCUACUUUGCUGCCAUGUCAACUGGUAUGGCUGCGAGGCGUUCAGCCCAGAGACAUGGCCGCAGGGUGCUACGAUCACGUCCCUGUGAAAGGCCAUCAUUAUCGUGCUGAUACUCAUUUCCUGGGAGAUAUGGGCCGGGAAAUAAUCAUGUCUUCAGGAGGAAGCUGGCAUCAGUAAACGAUGUUGUGCGCGAUCCAGAGGGCGCUUCAUCAGUGGCGCAUCGCCGGCGCAACUUGGCUGCAACCUUGUUGAUCAUCCUCUGCUGAUCGGCUAGCUAGCUAGUAGCAUCUGGCCCCUGUUUGGCCUCUGUUUUUUCUUGUGUUCUUAGUUUCUCCUUGUUGAUCAUCCUCUGCUGAUCAGCUGGUACUACGGUUUUAUCCCUGCUUAAUACAUGAAAGUGCCAGCAUUUGCUCGGUUGUAUAUACGUUUUAAGGAAUUCAUUUUGUUUUGGGGCUUCUUUUGUGGUGCCACAAGGCCAACAUGUUAUGCUUCAGACCGUGCUUGGUUAUUCAUACAGUUUUG